AAUAAAGCAACAUUCAUUAUAACUGUAAUGACAUUCAGCUAACAAAUCUAUAACAUUCAUUUUAGACUCGUAAUGAGGUACAUGAUAACAAUCAUACAAUACCAAUUAUAUUGGUAAAAAACAACAACAAUACUGUUAAAAUAAACAUGUUAUUUACUUUGGUUUUCAUUGCUUAACAAUAUUAGUUUCUACCUUUAUUCUAAUGGCAAAAAUAACGAAAAACUGUGCUGCUGUGAGCAGACAUCUAUCAAAUAAAAUUUCAAGGUAUCAGUAACAAUAAUUUGUUGAAAUAUGGCAACACAGAUUAAUAUUAGAAUUUCCUGAUUGUUUGAUCAGUUAAAGAGUUUUGUUGUUUAUAUCAGUUAUCUUUUAAUCUUAUGUUGGAAAUAUACAAAAACUUUCCAAAGUAGGAAAUUUAUUGUUUUGAGGCUAAAAUGUAAGACAAAAAGAGUUAAAUCAGAGAAAAUCGAAAAGCUCAUUCAUCUAUUGGCUGUAUACAUUUUAUGCAUUGUAUCUAUUGUACAAACAGUAAGUAGAACAUUACAGAGAAUGGCAAACUUAAAUGAGGCUUGAUACCACAAUGUCACCACCUCAGCAAGCUUUAUAAGAAACCUUCUGAAGAAUCAGAUCCAUAUAACAAAAAGAAGAUGUGGCACAAUUGUCAGUGAGACAACUCUCCACCAGAGAAGAAAUAAUAUAGAAGUGAACAACUCUAGGUAACCUUACAGCCUUUAACAAUGAGAAACAUUUAUACCACAUAGUUUUGUCACUUGUUAAUUGAUGCAGACCAUAUACAUGACAUCUUAAUAUCUAUUGACUAAUGUGUUGUUGAGUAGUUAUCUUAUUGAUAUAUACCUAUCAUAUUCAUAUUGAAGUCCAGGUGUAAUAAUUGAGUGAAGGUUGGUCAAAGUGAUAAAAAUGUAUAUGUUAUCUGCAAUUAUUCAAUCAAAUAUCAGCACUAAUAUGUAUAAAAACUGAGCAAUCAAUAGCAAAUAAUUAGAUCAAAAGAAGACAAAAUAAAAUCAAGCUCAAAAUAUGAUAUGUAACUAUAUUCAUAUAAAAAAAUUAUCCUACAACUAUAUGUCAAGGAAGACUAAGUACAGGGCAGAAAAAUGCCAUGUUCAUGAAAUUCUCCUAGUUAAAUGUGAACUCUCUUGUCCUUGAAAUAAUGUUUUAAAAUUUGAUGUGAUUGGUUUAACUUUACAAUUCUUAUGUUAUUGCAUGGAAAGCACAACUUGCUAAUCAAUCUAGGUCAUAACUAAUGAACAGCAACAGAGAAUUUACCUCCAUUUUGUCUUCAGCAAUAACAUAUUAGUAUUUCCAAAUAAAUAGUUAAAUGGUUCUCAUUUAAUAGCACAGUUUGUAGCUUCUGACAUAUCCAUCCUACAUUCUAUACCAAAGAAAUAAUUUUCUUUUUUUGGGGGAAAAAAACCAGGUUAAAUAAAACAGAGUUCAACCUGAAACAGUCUGUUUGCAUAACUGAAUUUAGUAAAUUUAAUGACCUGGUGUAACUAUAGCAAAGCAAAAGUAGACUUCUAAAGCAUUUAACCAAUCCUUGAUAAAAAAAAAAAAUAGAUGUUGCCUAUCAAUGCCAUGUUGGGAUGGGUAGGUAGGUAGGGAUUUUAUUUUUUUGGAGUGGCCAACAACAUAAGUUACAUGUUUUACACCAGAAAAACGGUAUUAGAGAUGGAUUAUUUUUAACAAGAGGCUGUCACAACGACAGCAAACUGGAUUUAUUAAUAUUUAUUUGUGUCCUGGCAAUAUCACAAGAACCAUUACUGAUGAAUGGUGAAAGUGAAAAUCGUCAAUAUCAAAUUUGACCUCCAUUUUGUCAUCAGUAUCAACAUCUUAAAAUUUGAAAAGCUUAUAAUAUUAGAUUGAAUGGUUCAUGAGUAAAUGCAACAACGUGAAUGGAAACGCCAUUUCACAAUCUUUCAAGAACCAUAACUCCUAAACGGUAAAAGUCAAAAUCGACAUUAUUGAAUUUGACCUCUAAUUUGCCAUCAGUGACAACAUAUAAAAAUUUCAAAAGCUUUGGUUGAAUGGUUUUUGAGAAAAUGCACGGACACGACUGGAAACACCAUUUUUCAAUCUUUCAAGAACCAUAACUCCUGAACGGUAAAAGUCAAAAUCGCCAUUAUUGAACUUGACCUCAUUUGUCAUCAGUAACAACAUAUUAAAAUUUGGGAAGCUUUGGUAAAAUAGUUCAUGCGUAAAUGCACGGACACGACUGGAAACACCAUUUUUCAAUCUUUCAAGAACCAUAAC
rnacentral:lncRNA from 1 species